ACCAGUCAUUUCGUUCUUUCGUUUGUUCUCGUCCGUUAUAUGAUUCACUUCACUUUCUUACGCUGUCUACACAGCUCGUGUUUUUGCGUGUUCUACAACACUACACUAGUUUUUAUGUUCUGUUUGCAGUCGUCCCAAACCACGUUGUUGUGAAUUUUGUGAUUCAUCGUCUGUUUAGGGUGGUCAAAAUUACCAGCGAUUUGUUUAGUGAUUCAACGUGUUUUGGUGUACCUCGUUGCUCGUGGGGACAGUAGUGUACGCUAAAGAUCCUGUCCCGGCUGCAUUCAGUGUGCUUUGUUGUGAAGUCUUCGUCAACAGUUGUCGGCACACAUUCGCACGUACGCAGGGUCAAUUUUGUUUAUUGUAUUGUAAUUGUUUUUGACUUAAAUACAGGCCCUGGUGCGGUAGCGUGGGUGUAAAACCAGGUGUGUGUCUCAACUGUUAUGUGAGUAUUGGUCGGCCAACUAUUUGUGUAUGACCGACGGGUCUUAUAUUAUUAUUAUUUUUAUACAGACUGUAAAGUUAUAACUGGCUGUGAUCUUUAUAAUUAUUACUAUUAUUAUUAUAUUGUUAUUGUUUAAUUAUACUGUUAUUAUUUAAC